rnacentral:pre_miRNA from 1 species
AGUGUGCCGUUCUUUCUGUCCUCAAUGUCGCCUGGCCGUCGUCUGAGCUUCAUUACCAUUAUAGAAAAGUUAACGCAUCUAACUACACGCAUUAAUUUUUCUAGUAAUGGUCAUCAAGCUCCUACAACGGCCAGGCGACAUUGUGGAUUUAAAGAGUGGCACGCU